rnacentral:tRNA from 1 species
GGAGGCCUUAGCUUAGUUAAAGCGUCUGGUUUGCAGUCAGGAGAUGUGUUUUAGAGAUCGCAGGCCUU